AUGAGGAGCCUGUUUUUUUUUUUUCUACAACUAUUUUAUCAAAAAAACGAAAAGGGACAGACGCAGGGGUGGGGGAUAGGGGACGAGAACAAACAGGGGAGGGGGAGGGGGGCACGACUGCUGGGUUAUGUUGCCAUCCCAGCUCAGGACUCUGAUAGAGAGCGGGAGCGAGAACGAGACGCAGAGCGAGAUUUGGAGCGGGAUUCUGAGCGGGAGACGGAGGGGGAACGGGAGCGGGCUUUGGCCGGGGAGGGAGAUGGAGAUUUGGACUUUGACUUGGGUUUGGAUUCGGCAGGGGUGUGGGAGCGAGAGCGGGAACGGGCGCGGGCUUUGGCCGGGGAGGGAGAUGGAGAUUUGGACUUUGACUUGGGUUUGGAUUCGGCAGGGGUGUGGGAGCGAGAGCGGGAACGGGCGGCCCCUUUCUCAGCUGCAGCUCCCUCGUCAUCGCUCUUGGCCGGCUCGCGGCUCUUUGAACCCGACUUCCGGGAGCGAUCCUUAGCCGCUGAUCUGGAGCGGGACCUGGAUCUAGACUCCUCCUUCCGGCUCUUCUUCCCUUCUUUCUUGCUGCUCUUUUUGCUCUUGCUGCGGCUCCUGCUGCGGCUCUUGCUGCGGGCCCCGCGCCCCUCCUUGGCCUUGUGGGCACCGUUGGUGCGCUCCUCAUCUCUGCUGCCCUUGGUCUUGUCCUUCUUGCUGUGGGAGCGGCUACGUGAGCGGGAGCCAGCACCCCUGGGAAAUAGAAAGGAGCAGACAGUUACCGCAUAUGCACUUGAAAUGAGGCGAUGUAGAAAUAGCCACCACUCCUAGCACUAGCUGGUUAA
rnacentral:lncRNA from 13 species